rnacentral:snoRNA from 1 species
UCGUCAGGUGGGAUAAUCCUUACCUGUUUCUCCUUAUAGAGAACAGAUUAGAAAAAAAUCUUUGAU